GGUUAAGCGACUAAGCGUACACGGUGGAUGCCCUGGCAGUCAGAGGCGAUGAAGGACGUGCUAAUCUGCGAAAAGCGCCGGCGAGGUGAUAUGAACCUUUGACCCGGCGAUGUCCGAAUGGGGAAACCCAGUGCAAUCCGUUGCACUAUCGUUAACUGAAUACAUAGGUUAACGAGGCGAACCGGGGGAACUGAAACAUCUAAGUACCCCGAGGAAAAGAAAUCAACCGAGAUUCCCCCAGUAGCGGCGAGCGAACGGGGAGCAGCCCGGAGUCUGAAUCAGCUUGUGUGUUAGUGGAACGGUCUGGAAAGUCCGACGGUACAGGGUGAUAGUCCCGUACACGAAAGCACACAUGCUGUGAACUCGAAGAGUAGGGCGGGACACGUGGUAUCCUGUCUGAAUAUGGGGGGACCAUCCUCCAAGGCUAAAUACUCCUGACUGACCGAUAGUGAACCAGUACCGUGAGGGAAAGGCGAAAAGAACCCCGGCGAGGGGAGUGAAAAAGAACCUGAAACCGUGUACGUACAAGCAGUGGGAGCCUCUUUAUGGGGUGACUGCGUACCUUUUGUAUAAUGGGUCAGCGACUUAUAUUCUGUAGCAAGGUUAACCGUAUAGGGGAGCCGAAGGGAAACCGAGUCUUAACUGGGCGUUAAGUUGCAGGGUAUAGACCCGAAACCCGGUGAUCUAGCCAUGGGCAGGUUGAAGGUUGGGUAACACUAACUGGAGGACCGAACCGACUAAUGUUGAAAAAUUAGCGGAUGACCUGUGGCUGGGGGUGAAAGGCCAAUCAAACCGGGAGAUAGCUGGUUCUCCCCGAAAGCUAUUUAGGUAGCGCCUCGUGAACUCAUCUUCGGGGGUAGAGCACUGUUUCGGCUAGGGGGCCAUCCCGGCUUACCAACCCGAUGCAAACUACGAAUACCGAAGAAUGUUAUCACGGGAGACACACGGCGGGUGCUAACGUCCGUCGUGAAGAGGGAAACAACCCAGACCGCCAGCUAAGGUCCCAAAGUCAUGGUUAAGUGGGAAACGAUGUGGGAAGGCACAGACAGCCAGGAUGUUGGCUUAGAAGCAGCCAUCAUUUAAAGAAAGCGUAAUAGCUCACUGGUCGAGUCGGCCUGCGCGGAAGAUGUAACGGGGCUAAACCAUGCACCGAAGCUGCGGCAGCGACGCUUAUGCGUUGUUGGGUAGGGGAGCGUUCUGUAAGCCGUUGAAGGUGUCCUGUGAGGGGUGCUGGAGGUAUCAGAAGUGCGAAUGCUGACAUAAGUAACGAUAAAGCGGGUGAAAAGCCCGCUCGCCGGAAGACCAAGGGUUCCUGUCCAACGUUAAUCGGGGCAGGGUGAGUCGACCCCUAAGGCGAGGCCGAAAGGCGUAGUCGAUGGGAAACAGGUUAAUAUUCCUGUACUUGGUGUUACUGCGAAGGGGGGACGGAGAAGGCUAUGUCAGCCGGGCGACGGUUGUCCCGGUUUAAGCAUGUAGGCGGAGGUUCCAGGUAAAUCCGGUACCUUAUNNNNNNNNNNNNNNNNNNNNNNNNNNNNNNNNNNNNNNNNNNNNNNNNNNNNNNNNNNNNNNNNNNNNNNNNNNNNNNNNNNNNNNNNNNNNNNNCGAUUAACGCUGAGGUGUGAUGACGAGGCACUACGGUGCUGAAGUGAUAAAUGCCCUGCUUCCAGGAAAAGCCUCUAAGCAUCAGGUAACACGAAAUCGUACCCCAAACCGACACAGGUGGUCAGGUAGAGAAUACCAAGGCGCUUGAGAGAACUCGGGUGAAGGAACUAGGCAAAAUGGUGCCGUAACUUCGGGAGAAGGCACGCUGAUGUGUAGGUGAAGUCCCUGCGGACGGAGCUGAAAUCAGUCGAAGAUACCAGCUGGCUGCAACUGUUUAUUAAAAACACAGCACUGUGCAAACACGAAAGUGGACGUAUACGGUGUGACGCCUGCCCGGUGCCGGAAGGUUAAUUGAUGGGGUUAGCGGCAACGCGAAGCUCUUGAUCGAAGCCCCGGUAAACGGCGGCCGUAACUAUAACGGUCCUAAGGUAGCGAAAUUCCUUGUCGGGUAAGUUCCGACCUGCACGAAUGGCGUAAUGAUGGCCAGGCUGUCUCCACCCGAGACUCAGUGAAAUUGAACUCGCUGUGAAGAUGCAGUGUACCCGCGGCAAGACGGAAAGACCCCGUGAACCUUUACUAUAGCUUGACACUGAACACUGGUCCUUGAUGUGUAGGAUAGGUGGGAGGCUUUGAAGCGUGGACGCCAGUCUGCGUGGAGCCAACCUUGAAAUACCACCCUUUAAUGGCUGGUGUUCUAACGUAGACCCGUAAUCCGGGUUGCGGACAGUGUCUGGUGGGUAGUUUGACUGGGGCGGUCUCCUCCCAAAGAGUAACGGAGGAGCACGAAGGUUGGCUAAUCCUGGUCGGACAUCAGGAGGUUAGUGCAAUGGCAUAAGCCAGCUUGACUGCGAGCGUGACGGCGCGAGCAGGUGCGAAAGCAGGUCAUAGUGAUCCGGUGGUUCUGAAUGGAAGGGCCAUCGCUCAACGGAUAAAAGGUACUCCGGGGAUAACAGGCUGAUACCGCCCAAGAGUUCAUAUCGACGGCGGUGUUUGGCACCUCGAUGUCGGCUCAUCACAUCCUGGGGCUGAAGUAGGUCCCAAGGGUAUGGCUGUUCGCCAUUUAAAGUGGUACGCGAGCUGGGUUUAGAACGUCGUGAGACAGUUCGGUCCCUAUCUGCCGUGGGCGCUGGAGAAUUGAGGGGGGCUGCUCCUAGUACGAGAGGACCGGAGUGGACGCAUCACUGGUGUUCGGGUUGUCAUGCCAAUGGCACUGCCCGGUAGCUAAAUGCGGAAGAGAUAAGUGCUGAAAGCAUCUAAGCACGAAACUUGCCCCGAGAUGAGUUCUCCCUGAGACCUUGAGUCUCCUGAAGGAACGUUGAAGACGACGACGUUGAUAGGUCGGGUGUGUAAGCGCAGCGAUGCGUUGAGCUAACCGAUACUAAUGAACCGUGAGGCUUAACCUU
rnacentral:rRNA from 1 species